GAUAGAGGGUGGCUCGAAGAGAGCCGUAACACAGGUGCUGCAUGGCUGUCGUCAGCUCGUGUCGUGAGAUGUUGGUUAAGUCCGCAACGAGCGCAACCCCUAUUGUUAGUUGCCAUCAUUCAGUUGGGCACUCUAGCGAGACUGCCGGUAAUAAACCGGAGGAAGGUGGGGAUGACGUCAAAUCAUCAUGCCCCUUAUGACCUGGGCUACACACGUGCUACAAUGGUUGGUACAACGAGUUGCGAGUCGGUGACGGCGAGCUAAUCUCUUAAAGCCAAUCUCAGUUCGGAUUGUAGGCUGCAACUCGCCUACAUGAAGUCGGAAUCGCUAGUAAUCGCGGAUCAGCACGCCCGCGGUCGAAUACGUUCCGGCCUU
rnacentral:rRNA from 1 species